rnacentral:misc_RNA from 1 species
UUAAGUUCAGCGGGUAUCCCUACCUGAUCCGAGGUCAACCAUAGAAAUUGGGGGUUGCUGGCAAGCGUCCACCGGGACUCACACGCGAGGGUUUAAUUACUACGCGUAGAGCUCGAUGGCACCGCCACUGAUUUAAGGCCAGCCGUUGCCGGCAGAGCCCAAGACAAGCUAAGCUUGAGGGUUGAAAUGACGCUCGAACA